UAGUCCACGCCCUAAACGAUGUCAACUAGUUGUCGGGUCUUAAUUGACUUGGUAACGCAGCUAACGCGUGAAGUUGACCGCCUGGGGAGUACGGUCGCAAGAUUAAAACUCAAAGGAAUUGACGGGGACCCGCACAAGCGGUGGAUGAUGUGGAUUAAUUCGAUGCAACGCGAAAAACCUUACCUACCCUUGACAUGGCAGGAAUCCCGGAGAGAUCCGGGAGUGCUCGAAAGAGAACCUGCACAC
rnacentral:rRNA from 1 species